AUUAGUUGCCCUUUAAUUGGGGGAGGGUAUGAAAGGUUUGACCCCAGGAUACUGUCUUUAAGCUAUAUAAUUAAUUUUCUUUUUAAGUGAAAAAGCUUAAAUUUUUGUAAAAGACGAGAAGACCCUGUCGAACUUUAUUAGGUAUUUAAAUUGUAUGUGUAAUUUAUUUACUAAAGUUUUGCUGGGGCAGUAAAAAAUCAAUUUUGUUGUGUGGAGAGCCUAUUAGAUAGAAAUAAGCACAAGUUACCGCAGGGAUAACAGCGUAAUUUUUUUUGAGAGUUCUUAUUGAGAGAAAAGUAUGCGACCUCGAUGUUGAAUUAAGGAUACCCUAUGGCGUAGCCGCUAUGGUGGUAAAACUGUUCGUUUUUUAAAUCUUUACGUGAUCUGAGUUCAGACCGGAG
rnacentral:rRNA from 1 species